UAUUAAAAUUGUUGCAGUUAAAAGCUCGUAGUUGAAUUUCUGCUAAAAAUAACCGGUCUGCUUUUAAUAAAGGUGGUAUCUUGGUGUGUUUUUAGCAAUAAUGUCCUUUGAAAUGUUUUUUACUUUAUUGUAAUAAAUUAUAUUCAGGAUUUUUACUUUGAGAAAAUUAGAGUGUUUCUAGCAGGCUAACGCUUUGAAUACUGCAGCAUGGAAUAAUAAAAUAGGAUUUUGGUUCUACAUUAUUGGUUUUAAGAGCUAAAUUAAUGAUUGAUAGGGACAGUUGGGGGCAUUUGUAUUUAACUGUCAGAGGUGAAAUUCUUAGAUUUGUUAAAGACAAACUACUGCGAAAG
rnacentral:rRNA from 1 species